rnacentral:lncRNA from 1 species
GGAUGCUACACAUCCAUGGGGCAGAGGAUAAGAGGUUCCUGAAGGCAUCACCCCUAUGGCCGUGACUGGUGUGCAGAGGAAACUGGAGAUUUGGAGUAGCCUGUUGUCCUACUGACUCUUAGACUGUCCCAGCUAAGAAGAACCAACUCCUCCUAUUACAGAUAAAAUAAACAAAGCUGCUCAGGCUCUCUAGUGUCGCCCUGACAGUCAUCAUGCAUCCGCUUGUCAUUUCCCUCCUGCCCCCCUGAUUUUCUGGAAAAGGGAGAAAGUGUGCGGAAAAAAAAAAAAAAAAAGCACAACUACUUCUGUUAACUUUAUAGAUGUCUGGUUCCUCCAUAUGAGGGUGUGCUUGAAUCAAUUUGGGAGGGAGGGUUUCUAAAGUCUCUCUAGACUCUAUUAAUUUUGCUAGAGACAAUAAAAGGCAGCAGGACCAACGCUAUGUGGUGGGAGAUCUAGCAACCAUUGUAGUCACAAUAGCCACCGCUUACCGAACACCCACCAUGUGACAAAGAACUGUGCAUGAGUUAUCUCACAUUUUUCACAAGCACGCCUUGAUUUGGGAGUUCACUCAUGAGGCAAUUGAGGUUCAGGGAGAUGAAGUAACUCGCCCAAGGUGGCACCCUGUAGGUAGUAGGGCUGAGAUCUGGACAUAGAUCUUGCCUCCAAACCUUUGUCUUUUUUCUUUUUCCUACUACAGCACACCAAAGAGAGUUCUAGAAAAAACGAGAAAAAGGAAUUUACCUGUAAUCCUUGCUCAAGAAACCGAAGCUCUGAGGCCACGUUGUCCCAACCUUUUGCAGCUCCUGCACGUGGAUACCAGCACCAGCAGCUCCCCAGCCAGGGGCCCCAGCUAAGCUCUCCCAGAGGAUGAUCUUGGCUUUGUACCUGGGGUGCCAAUAUCCUGUGAGUCCAACAGAGGGAAGACAUAAGAGUAUGGUCACCCAGGUAAGUGGUAGACAGCUGAGUGACUAUAUUCUUGCUCACCACCACCCCCAUCAGAGGUCAAGCAAAGGGAUAUAGACCGUGUGGAAAUAUGGCACAUCAGGGGUGCUUGGUGUAAUAAGAAACAACUAAAAAAACAAAGGAGGGGAUGUGGCUCUAAAAGUUAUCAACUGUCAAUCAGCCUUGACCAUAAAAAGUUAGCCAAAGAAAGACUUGGGCCCAGAGGUUUUGUACAGAGGAAAUCCAGGCUCCUAACAAGGGCGAAAGAUGGGAAUAGAAGGAUCAGAACAUUGAGCUGGAUCUUCGGUUCAUUUCAGGUAUAGAGAAGGGUAAAUGGUCUGUAAAGAUGGCCGACCCCAAUGAAAUUGCCUUCCAAGGCCUUGUCCACUCAACGACAUGUUGCAUGCCUGAAACUCAGUAUACAGGAAAAGGAUAGAAAUGGAAUAAGAUGGAAACCCAUAAAUCAGAGGACCCUGCCAUGCAGUUUCAAACCACUGACUUGAUGAAAUGUUGAUCCACUUUGCCAUGGAUGCCCCACUUUUUAACUUCUUCUUCAGAGUCCCAGGAAGUAAGGCUCUUCUGUUUAACUGAUUUGCGGAAUUUUUGCUUCUGCUAUUAUAAUGGCUUCCAUAGUUGAGUACCAAAGAC